GCCCCUUUUUCCAUUUUUUUUUAAUUUUCUUUUCUCAAAUUCUUUUCUAAAUUCAUUUGGACCAAUUUAAAAUCAUUUUCACCUCUUGCCCCCUAAAGCAAAGUUGUUCCAAAACAAGAACCCUACAACUUUGUUUUAAUAAGCAAGACCAAAUUCCAAACAGAAUUUGAAUUACAAAUUAAAACUUUUUCUAGGUUUUGAAAUGAUUUCAAUUUUGGAAUUUUUGUAUAAAUUCCAUUUCUCAAAUUCUAUAGCUCCAAAAAUUGCACAAAAAUAUUCUUAAUUCUUUUUACACAUAAAUCAACCCAGUUUGAAUAUCUCACAUUUUUAGAAGCAAGCAUCAUAUUUUUAGCAUAUUUAGAACACAUGAAAUAAAGCACAUAAAAUCAUGUUUUGAGAUGAAUGACAUGCUCAUGAUGCUUAUGCUUGAUGAGAAUGCUUAUGCAUUGUUUUUGGAAAGUCUAAGUGCAUGCUUAACACCUAGGGUGUUACAGCCCUUCCCCCCUUAGGGAAAUCUCGUCCCGAGAUUUUGGGUUACUAACCAUUUCUUAUGAAAUUUUGGAUAAACUGUUUUCAAGUAAUCCUCUGUUUCCCAGGUGGCAUCCUUAUCGUCAUGAUGACUCCACACCACCUUAUAUGUUCUGACAAUUCUGUUUCGGGUUACUCGUUCCUUGGUAUCCACAAUUCCCACUGGCUGCUCCUUAUACUCUAAGUCUGCUUUUAUCUUGAUCCCUCUAGGUUCAAUUCUUUGUUCAGGCACUUUCAAACAUUUUCGUAGUUGCGACACAUGGAAGACCAGAAAGACUGAGCUCAACUCUUCAGGUAACUGAAUCUAGUAGGCCACGGGCCCUUUUCUCUCCAGCACCCGAUACGGUCCCACAUACCUGGGUGCAAGCUUGCUUCGAACUCGAAAACGUUGAACUUUCUUCAUUGGCGUAACUUUGAGAUAAACAUAGUCACCCACGUUGAAUUCAAGUGGCCUUCUUCUCUUAUCAGCAUAACUCUUUUGUUGUGAUUGCGCUGCUUGCAUAUGCUGCUGUAUGAUUUGCACCUUCUUCUCGGCCUCAUUCACGAAGUUGAUACCAUAGUAUCUUCUCUCACCAGGUUCAACCCAGUUUAACGGAGUUCUACACCUCCGACCAUACAAAGCUUCAAACGGGGCCAUCUUGAUGCUCUCCUGAUAACUGUUAUUGUAAGAGAAUUCAGCCAGAGGUAACCAUGACUCCCAUGAUCCCUUGGAUGAUAGCACACAGGCCCUCAGCAUAUCUUCUAACACUUGAUUUAGCCUCUCCGUUUGGCCUGAAGUCUAGGGAUGAUACGCCGUGCUUCUUAUCAGACUGGUCCCCAAACUCUUAUGCAUCCACUCCCAAAAGUGAGCGGUGAACUGUGGUCCUCUAUCUGAUAUGAUGGUAUUGGGAAUACCAUGCAACUUGACAAUCUCAGCCAUAUAUAUAUCGGCGUACUCAGGAGGUCGGUAACGAGUUUUCACAGGAAUGAAAUGGGCCGAUUUGGUCAAUCGAUCUAUGAUUAUCCAAAUCGAGUCAUUCCCCUUCCUUGUCGUUGGUAAACCCGUGAUAAAGUCCAUACUGACCUCUUCCCAUUUCCACUUUGGAAUUGAUAACGGUUGCAACAGACCUGCAGGCUUCAUGUGGAUGGCCUUAACUCUGCAACACGUGUCACAACGGGCUACAUAUGCGGCUAUUUCUUUCUUCAUCUUAGUCCACCAAAAAUGGGGUCUCAAGUCUUGGUACAUUUUACUACUUCUAGGAUGAAUAGAAAGCUUGGAGAGAUGGGCUUCAUCCAUGAUGCGAUUUUUCAAUUCACGAUCCUUUGGAACUACUAACCGAUGUUGAAACCACAGUACCCCUUUCUCAUCAACUCGAAAUUGAGUCCUUGGGUCAUCUUUGAUCCUCUCUUUGAUGUGGAAAAUACCUUUGUCUGCCUUCUGACCUUCAAUGACUUGACUUUCGAGUGAACAACUGAGUUGUAUGUGACAUAAGACCUCAAGAUGCAUGAGAUUGAACCCAUCUUCAAACAACGGUUGAACCACUUGAUAGUGCAGUUUACGACUGAAUGCAUCUGCUACUACAUUAGCUUUGCAUGGAUGGUAGUGAACUUCCAGAUCAUAGUCCUUGAUUAACUCUAACCACCGUCGUUGCCUCAUAUUCAGCUCGGACUGAGUGAAGAUGUACUUCAAACUCUUAUGAUCGGUAUAAACGUGACACUUAUUUCCCAGUAAAUAGUGUCUCCAAAUCUUCAAAGCACGUACCACUGCCGCUAACUCGAGGUCGUGAGUUGGGUAGUUGACUUCAUGCUUUCUUAGCUGUCGUGAAGCAUAAGCUAUCACCCUUCCAUCUUGCAUCAACACACACCCCAAGCCACUUUUCGACGCGUCGCAAAACAGAUCAAAAGGCUUUUCGAUAUUAGGUUGCGCCAGAACGGGAGCAGUGGUUAGCAACUUUCGCAAGGUGCGGAAGGCUAACUCACACCCCUCUGUCCAGACGAACUUAUGAUCCUUUUGUAGCAAACUUGUCAUUGGCUUAGCAAUCUUGGAGAAGUCAGGUAUGAAUCGACGAUAAUACCCGGCUAGACCAAGAAAACUUCUAACUUCUGAGACGGAAGUUGGUGCUUUCCAGUUCAUGACUUCCUGUACUUUUGACGGAUCUACAGCAAUCCCUUCUCCAGACAGAAUGUGCCCCAGGAAAGGAACUUUCUUCAACCAGAACUCACACUUGCUGAACUUGGCAUAUAACUGAUGCUCUCGUAAUCGUGUCAGCACGAUUCUCAAAUGCUCGGCGUGAUCUUGCUCAUUUUCUGAAUAAACCAGAAUAUCAUCGAUAAACACCACAACAAACUUAUCCAAUUCUGGCAUAAAGACUUAAUUCAUCAGAUACAUAAAGUAUGUAGGAGCAUUUGUCAAUCCAAAGGACAUGACAAGAUACUCAUACAACCCAUAUCUGGUGGAGAAAGAAGUCUUCGGGAUAUCUUGCGGACGAAUCUUGAUUUGGUGAUACCCAGACCUCAAAUCUAUCUUAGAAAACACUCUUGCCUUGGACAACUGAUCAAACAGGUUAUCAAUCCUUGGCAAAGGAUACUUAUUCUUGAUUGUCACUGCAUUGAGUGGACGAUAGUCCACGCACAUGUGCAACGAUUGAUCCUUCUUUUUCACAAACAACGCCGGACAACCCCAUUCCGACAAACUUGGCCGGAUGAAUCCUUUAUCCAGCAACUCCUUUAGUUGAUUUUUCAACUCGGCGAGUUCGUUAGGUGGCAUCCGGUACGGCCUUCUAGAUAUUGGUGCUGUACCUGGGAUCAACUCAAUUGCAAACUCUACUUCCCUAUCUGGAGGAAGUCCUGGUAAUUCCUCGGGAAAAACAUCAGGGAACUCACAGACUACUGGGAUCUGUGGCAAUGGAACCACGUGCGUAGCACAAGAGAUGCUAGCGAAGUCAAGACGACGGGGCAGAGGUACUUGAAAAGAGCUGCUGCCCUGUGGUUCUCUGAGGGAUAACAUCCUCUUCCCAGUAUCUAUGACGGCAUCCCAUUCCCUCAUCCAGUUCAUGCCCAUGAUAACAUCCAAAACUAACCCAGGCAUGACCACUAGAUUUACCCGAAAAACUCGGUCACUUAUAUCUAGGGUUGCCCCUCGAACCACUCUAUUGGUCAACACAUCUGCCCCUGCUGAGCUGAUGCAGUAGCCAUAACCCAGAUCUGUAACCGGUUGACUAUUGUUUUGUGCAAAUGCUUGACUCAUGAAUGAAUGUGAUGAUCCAGAAUCAAACAAAACAACUGCAAGAUGUUGGUUGACAGAGAACAUACCAGCUGUUACCGGUUCUCCUUCCGGAAUCUCCUCGAUCGAGGUAUGGUGCACACGAGCUGGAUAGGUUGGCUGCUGCCUCUUGGGGUAGGGACAUUCCUUAGCAAAGUGUCCCAUCUUGUGGCAGUUGUAACACGGACCCUUGGGCGCAUUGUUGGCGGCAGGUGCUGUAGCUUGAAUUGCCUUUGGCUUGGCAGGGGCUAUCGCCACCUUGUACGGCUUCUGCUGCGUUGGAUGCCCGGUGUUCCUUCUCUGCUGCGGUCGGAACCUAGCACCUGGGGCAGGGGGACGAUACUGCUGUCACCCUGCCACGGGUGCCCUGGACUGGGAUGAUCCGGCUUCAAAAGCCCUCUUACGUGACUUGGAUGCACUGUAGUUGUUGUUAUUGUUCUCCUGGUUUAGGCAGUCACUGAUAUAGGCAUUGAAGGUAGCCAUGGCUCCUGUACCCAUGGUCUUCAGCAUCUUUGGAUUCAAGCCUCUCUGGAAACUAGCAAUCUUCUUGGCCUCCGUGUUCACAAACUCAGGGGCAUAGCGAGCGAGAUUGUUGAAAGCGUGUAGAUACUCCUUCGCAGAUUUCGUCCCCUGGGACAGCCUCAUGAACUCCCCGAUCUUCAUUUCGACUAAACCCGGAGGAAUAUAAUUUCCCCGAAAAGCGGUGGUGAAGCGGUUCCAGGUAAUUGGGGUCCCCUCUGGGUAGGUGGUACGGUGAUGGGACCACCAAAUCCCAGCGGGUCCUUGCAACUGAUGUGCCGCAUACUCAGCCUUAAGUUCUUCUAUCAUUCGGAGAAGACGAAACUUCUGCUCCAUAGUGUUGAUCCACUCAUCUACCUCGAGCGGCUCCAAAGCCUCUUUGAAGAUUGGCGGCUUGGUAUCCAUGAAGUCCUUGAACGAACUGUACUGAUUGACUUCACGGCCGCCCUGGUUAUCCCCACGACGGGUGUUGUCAGCUAUGUUGCGCAGAGCCUCUUCCAUGUUGCGUUGUAUCUGUUCCAUGUUGCGUUGGCUCCCCAGGAACUGCGUGAAAAACACAUCCGCAGUGUACGGAGGAGGCGGUGGUGGUGGCGGUGUUGGUGCUCUAUCCUUAUUCCGUUGAGCCCCACCUCCGGACGUACCUGCUCCAAGACCCGGAUUGCUGUUACCCCCGCCACGUGUUUGCACCAUCUGCAUACGUCAAUGAUAAGCAAUCGUUAGGUGUUGCCAUCAACGGUAGAAAUGUGUAGAAUCAUGCCAUACUGAAUUUACUGAGGGAAUAAAUUCGCACAAUAAACAGAGGCACAACAAUUCAUCAUCUACAUACAACAUCACUAACAGAUUACUUAACGUUCACGCAACAAGGUUCGCGUACAUCCAACUUGCCAGCAUACAUACACUGGACUUUCAGCAUUAACUCAUGAGUCUUACAUAGCCCAGAUCCAAAAGUACAAGACAUGCCAUGCAACAUACAUCACAAAAGAAGGACUAGCUCUAGAGCCCUAACAUCUACUCGCUAUGGUCACUGUCCAUGCCGGAGCCCUCCUCAUCCUCAUCUCCACUAGCAGCUGCUCCUAUCGCGGGAUCCGCGUCCAUCUCGUCCUUAGAGUCUAACUCAGCUGCUCCAGGUAGGUGGUGAGGGUGGAGCUGGUUAUGCAGCUGGUGGAUCUCCUCAUGCAAGUUCUCAUUGUACUCCUCCGCAUUAGCUAGCUGCUGCUCUAGCUCCGGCUGUCGGGCCCUGAAAGUGUCCUCCUCGUGCUAGGCUUCAUUCCUCUGACCAAGCACAUGGACUAGCAUGCGCUCGCAGUUCCUGUGAGCAGUAGUCACCCUGUCCUUCUACGCUCGUACUGCAAGCAGGUCCUGAAAUAUGAUGCAUUGACCCCCAAGUCAGUACUUAACUAGCCACCUUAGAGUCCUUAACUGGGCAUAAAGGAUAUGACCAUGGCACACUAGAUAGUUUUCCCAAAACUUGGUUUAACACCUUGAUCAUUAUUAAUUAAUAACAUCUUUUAUUAAACCAGUUUAGAUUUUUAUUUAGAACGUACUUAUGAACAGUAACUCGCUAAACCUUGCUCCGAUGCCAGCUGUAACAAACCGACCAAAUUAUAAGAGAUUAAGCCUAACAGAGACCAUUUGCAUAGUCAACCCAUCAGGCUUAAGCCCAUAUAAUCCCAGUAGUCGUGAAAUCUCGAAGGAUUUCAAACCACACAUCGCACAACAGCCAAGAUCGUAAUAAGUUUAGCGGUCACCAUCCACAAAUACAUCCAGAUUACAACAUUCAUAAAAUACAUGAGAGUUCUUAAAAUUAUUACAAACCAAGUUCUUCAAGUAGCGGAAGCUUCAUAGUUCGAAAAUACAACACACACACUUAUUGUGAUACAGUGCCUUAGUUCGAUCAUUCCCACAAAAGCAAAAGAGAAGACGGAGUGACCAUCGCCCUUGGUCUCGUCAUCACCCAUGGCUGGGUACAGACAGAGGAUGCAAUAACCAUAGUACAUUUGACUAUCUGCAAAACAACAUGGGAGUAGAACCCUGAGUACGAGAAGGUACUCAGCUAGACUUACCCAUCAUAAAAAAAAUAAAAAUAAAAUAAAAUAACUUCAAGGAUCAUGAAGGCUAUAUGGUGGGGUAGCUGACGACCAUUUUGCAAAACCGCAGAAUUCUAUAUCAUAACCUAUAUAAAUUUUUCUUCCUUUAAUUUGCUCAAGUUGAAAGUAUCAUUACCUAUUAUCUAGGUUUGCACCUGUAUUAUGAUAGUACCUCAUCAAGCAUUUCUUAAAAUCAUUCCUCAUUUUAACCCAAGUGUUCCAUAGUCCUUACUACGAGGACAGGGCUCAUGUCAAGUGCUCACUAUCCAGGAGCGAUGGCGAUUCGAAUCGAUUUCUAACCAGCUGGCGAGGUAUUCCCCACACAAACCACACUCACUGAUCAAGUGAGCUACAGAUCACUGUAUUACACUAUCCAGGACUAAUUCGCGGGUUCGGCAGGCACCGCCAGUACCCGAGGACCAUUCCGGCGACCGAGGUAUCCAAGGCAUACCAAGGUUGCGCGCCGCACCCUCGUCGUUCUCCUCAACCAUCACCAAUACAGCGCAUGGCGGCUCGAUUCCCGGCCCGGAUAGUGUUCUGGCUUCGCGGUCGGAAUGACUUAUCCUUCCAGCUAAGUGUGGGCAUGCGUUCAACAUGACAAGAGGGCCGUCAACGAUCGGUCCAUAAUCGACAUAGGCAGGAGCACUAUGGUCAACCCACCAUAAGACCCUGCCCGGUCUCCAAUUCCAUUGCACACUUGGUUAUUCUUUUCCCAAAGCAACCACUGCUUAAACAAGUAGGUAUCCACCUAUAUCUCGCAGGUGACAGGAAAUCACCCGACUUCUACCGGACUAAGCAAGCUAAGCAUAGACUUCGCGCCUAUCUACAUAGGACAAGGUAGAUAAACGAGUAGGGAUAACAAGGAGUACAUAUGCAUCAACGGUAUCAACCAACUCCUAUCACUUAAAUGCAGUAUAGUAGAUCAAGCAUAGUAUAUCCUGUAAGUUAGCGAGAAUAGGGAGACUUAAAAUGCUCCGGGGCUUGCCUUUCUCAAACGUGCAGGGUCGGUGAUCCGGACACUCCUGUAGUUCCUCUCCGGACUCCUGUGCUUCCGGAGGUUCCGGCUCCUGAAUCUCCUCUGGCUCCUCGGGUCCCACCUCGUUCUCCUGCGAGCCUGUAUGAUGCAUGUGUGCUCAUGAGUGGAGUGCGAGAUGCCGGAGUGGAUGCUUGUAUGAGAAAGUACCAAAGGGUCAUGACAUGAUGCGUAGGUGAUUUAAUUGGUCAUGCUCUUUACAAGGUAGUCAACAUCAUCCAAGAGUAAGCAAUUGAAUUAAACAUCUAGUGCAUUCUCUUCUACAAUUAUUUUUCAAGUGUGACCAGUAACCCACAAGUUGCUUCAAAGAUACACCAAACCCAAACUUAUUCUAUUCAACCUAUAUAUACAACAAUUCAUAAUUUUCUUUAUUCAUUUCUAGGCCCAUUAAAAUUUACAUGCAGUUCUGUUCAUCAAUAAAUUCCACAAAAAUUACAGGAGACUACCAGCCAAGCAUAAAGUCUACUGUAAAUUUUUCAUAAUUUUUGGAUACUUAUUUUGAGCUACAAAAAUCACAAGAUUAAUUAAUAAGGUAAGUAUAAUUACUCCACUGUGAUAUAAGUUUCAAACAACAGCUUUCAUAUUUUUACAAUUUUUCUAAUAUCAUAAGAAACAUCCACAAAAAUUUCCAGAUUAAUUGCAUGACCCAAUUAGUUAUUAAAAAUCAUAAACCACUGCCAUGCAAGCAUUUAAAUUACCAUAAAUUCAUUUAUACACCAAAUAAUGUAUAGCAAUAUUUUCCCAGUGAGUUAACAUACAUGCAGAGCCAACAAAUCAAGUUUCACAUUUUUCUGAACCAUAUUUUAAUUACUAUGCAUUUUCCAACUUUACCAAAAACAUAGAUUACAUAUAUCCAUACAGAAAAGUUACUCAAACAUGACAUGCAAUUGCAUCAAACUGUAGAUCUGGAAAUAUAGAGCACACCAAAACUUAUUUCAUCAAAUUUGGAGCUGUAGAACUCAAGAUAUGAAUUUUACAAGUUUUGAAUCAAUUUCUGGAAACAUUUAUUUAAGAAAACCGACGCAAAAGGCUAAACAUACCCAGAUCUACACCCACCGCGGUCCCCCUACGACUGACAGUGGGCCUCGGACCCGACUGGUCAGCGAGACCGAGAGGGAGCACACCUCCGACGAGCAGAUCUCGCCGGCGGUGAGGUCUCCGGCCACGGGGUGAGCACCAUCGUGCUCCCCGCAGCGAGGCGCACCCAGCGGUACCCUCGGAUUGACCGGAGGAUGGCCGGAGCACCUCCGACGAGCAUGCAUGGCGGCACGGCGGCGCUGCUCGCCGUGGCCAGGCCGCUCCGGCGCGGUAGAGCGCGCGCAAACGUCUCUCCGAGCUUCCUCACCACCCUACCGACCUAGCGCAACCAAGAACCAGCGAAAAGAGGCAGGGAAACGAAAGAUCCGUCGCGGCGUAGUACUCCGGCGAGCUCGGGGUAACUCCAGCGAGCGAUUCACGGCGCUCGACGGACUCUCACCUCGGUAGAACGCUCGCAGGAGCUUACCCUAACGAUGGCGAACGCGCCAGUGGCUUCGGUGUCGAGGUUUGGUCACUGGGGUGGCCGGCGGUGAGCAGCGGAGCUGCUUCGGCGAUGGCGCUGCGGCGGAGUCGCUGCGGCUGUGUUGCGUGAGCGGAGGGAGGAGGGAGAGGGGCGCGCGACAGAGUGGAGGGAAUGGCUUGGGAGCCCGAGCCGGCGUCCCGACCAGGGGGGUGUAGGUGGCCGGCCGCGGCGCGCUCCUCGCCGGCGUACGGCCGCCACGUGGCCGACGCUGGCUGGGACGAGGCGCGUCCGCGCGCGUGGGAGAGAGGGGGAGGGGGAAGAAGGCCGGGCCACUCGCUGGGCCGAAAGGGAGGCGGGGUUGGCCCGGCAGCGCCUGCCCCUUUUUCCAUUUUUUUUUUAAUUUUCUUUUCUCAAAUUCUUUUCUAAAUUCAUUUGGACCAAUUUAAAAUCAUUUUCACCUCUUGCCCCCUAAAGCGAAGUUGUUCCAAAACAAGAACCCUACAACUUUGUUUUAAUAAGCAAGACCAAAUUCCAAACAGAAUUUGAAUUACAAAUUAAAACUUGUUCUAGGUUUUCAAAUGAUUUCAAUUUGGGAAUUUUUGUAUUGUUGACACCAUUUUUGGGCACGUGUCCAGGAUGGCAGGAUAGGGUGGCAGUACGAUGCGGGUUGCUGAUGAGGAUGGUUGCCGAUGAGGGAGAGGUUGAAUGUGACUAAGUCCACAGGCAGUAAUAUGGUGCCGAUGACCAGGUAAAAGGGUCUGCCGAUGACCAUGGCAAGGGGAUUGCCGAUGGCGCGAAGGAGGAGUCCGGAAGCUGCCAGUUGUCAUGUGGAGGAGUUUCAGUUUGUCACGGAGGAUAGUUUUAUUGUUUCCUUAGUUAUUUGCAUCGUUUUGUAUAUAGAUUCCGUGUAAUUUGGAAUUCGAAUUCUAAUCGUGUCUAGUCGUAGCUCUUCGAGCAGGGUAUAAAUAUAAACCCUAGGACCUUCUAAUAGGAUAUCAAGAAAUCAAUCAAACAUACGUUUUUACUCAUAUUCCAGCAUCUACUUUUCGACGACUUCGUCAUACUUUUUUCCUUUU
rnacentral:lncRNA from 1 species